rnacentral:rRNA from 1 species
UACGAAGGGUGCAAGCGUUACUCGGAAUUACUGGGCGUAAAGCGUGCGUAGGCGGUUUGUUAAGUCUGUCGUGAAAGCCCCGGGCUCAACCUGGGAAUGGCGAUGGAAACUGGCGAGCUAGAGUACGGUAGAGGAGAGUGGAAUUCCCGGUGUAGCAGUGAAAUGCGUAGAGAUCGGGAGGAACAUCAGUUGCGAAGGCGGCUUUCUGGGCCUGUUCUGACGCUGAGGAGCGAAAGCGUGGGGAGCAAACCGG